rnacentral:rRNA from 1 species
UAGGGAUUUUUCGUCAAUGGGCGCAAGCCUGAACGAGCAAUGCCGCGUGAACGAGGAAGGUCUUCGGAUCGUAAAGUUCUGUUGAAGGGGAAAAAGAGCGGAGAGAGGAAAUGGUCUCCGAUUGAUAUUACCCUUCGAGGAAGUCACGGCUAACUACGUGCC